CAGAGCCUGUAGCAUAAAUCAUCCCAAAUGGAGGAAGAAACCUUAAAAAUAAUAUCUGAUCUAGGAUGAUCUUGUUAUACUUCCCAGGCUGGUCUGAAACUCCUGGACUGAAGUGAUCCUCCUGCCUCAGCCUCCUGAGAAGCUAGGAAUACAGGACUUUUUCUGGAAGGAAAACAAUCUAUUGAGUUGUACCACCUGGCAGGCAGAAUAUGUUUUAGACCUGAUGUGACUUUUUGGAGACCUAGAAUCUGUUGGAACCAAAGGUAAAGGAAGUGCCCCAACCAAACUUCACUCAAUUCUUGGCUUUUUUUUAGGUUGACUAGUCAGAC
rnacentral:lncRNA from 13 species